rnacentral:rRNA from 1 species
GACGAACGCUGGCGGCGUGCUUAACACAUGCAAGUCGAGCGGAAAGGCUCCUUCGGGGGUACUCGAGCGGCGAACGGGUGAGUAACACGUGAGUAAUCUGCCCUGCGCUCUGGGAUAGCCACCGGAAACGGUGAUUAAUACCGGAUACGACACGCCUCCGCAUGGGGAGCGGGUGGAAAGUUUUUCGGUCUGGGAUGGACUCGCGGCCUAUCAGCUUGUUGGUGAGGUAAUGGCUCACCAAGGCGAUGACGGGUAGCCGGCCUGAGAGGGCGACCGGCCACACUGGGACCGAGACACGGCCCAGACUCCUACGGGAGGCAGCAGUGGGGAAUAUUGGACAAUGGGCGGAAGCCUGAUCCAACAACGCCGCGUGAGGGAUGACGGCCUUCGGGUUGUAAACCUCUUUCAGUACCGACGAAGCGCAAGUGACGGUAGAUACAGAAGAAGGACCGGCCAACUACGUGCCAGCCGCCGCCGUAACAC